AUACGUGGCGCGUGCUUAAACAUGCAGGUCGAACGAUGAAGCCCAGCUUGCUGGGUGGAUUAGUGGCAAACGGGUGACUAACACGUGGGUGAUCUGCCCUACACUUCGGGAUAAGCCUGGGAAACUGGGUCUAAUACCGGAUAGGACCUCGGGAUGCAUGUUCCGGGGUGGAAAGGUUUUCCGGUGCAUGAUGGGCCCACGGCCUAUCAUCUUGUUGGUGGGGUAACGGCCCUUAACGGCGACGACAGGUAUCCGGCCUGAGAGGGCGACAGGCCACACUGUGACUGAGACACGGCCAACACUCUUACGGGAGGCACCACUGUGGAAUAUUGUACAAUGGGCUCAAGCCUGAUGCAGCGACGCCCCGUGAGGGAUGACGGCCUUCGGGUUGUAAACCUCUUUCUUUUUAGACGAAGCGCAAGUGACGGUAGGUACAGAAGAACACCGGCCAACUACGUGCCAGCGGCCGCGGUAAUACCUACGGUGCCAGCGUUGUCCAGAAUUACUGCGCGUACAGAGCUCGUAGGCGGUUUGUCGCGUCGUCUGUGACAACCCGCAGCUCAACUGCGGGCUUGCAGGCGAUACGGGCAGACUUGAUUACUGUGUGGGACACUGGAAAUCCUGGUGUAGCGGUGAAAUGCGCAGAUAUCAGGAGGAACACCGGUGGCGAAUGCGGCUCUCUGGGCAGUAGCUGACGCUGAGGAGCGAACGCGUGCGUAGCGAACAGGAUUAGAUACCCUGAUAGUCCACGCAGUACACGGUGGGCGCUACGGUGUGGGUUUGCAUUCCACGGGAUCCGUGCUCGUAUCUAACGCAUUAGCCGCCCCGACUAGCGAAGUACGUCCGCAAGUCUAUACCUCAGAUGAAUUGACGAAGGUUGACUUCAGCCCACUUGCGCCGAUUACUAUGAAUCCGAGCUCGUACAAGCUGGAUGCAUAGCUCGAUAUUCCUAUAUUGUCACCUAAAUACUUGCGUAGGCAUGCUCUUACAUUUUUCCGG
rnacentral:rRNA from 1 species